UCUCCGUAGGUGAACCUGCGGAGGGAUCAUUACAAGUGACCCCGGUCUUACCACCGGGAUGUUCAUAACCCUUUGUUGUCCGACUCUGUUGCCUCCGGGGCGACCCUGCCUUCGGGCGGGGGCUCCGGGUGGACACUUCAAACUCUUGCGUAACUUUGCAGUCUGAGUAACUUAAUUAAUAAAUUAAAACUUUUAACAACGGAUCUCUUGGUUCUG
rnacentral:misc_RNA from 1 species